rnacentral:rRNA from 1 species
AGCGAACGCUGGCGGCAGGCCUAAUACAUGCAAGUCGAACGGCUCUUCGGAGCAGUGGCGGACGGGUGAGUAACGCGUGGGAAUGUGCCCUUAGGUACGGAACAACACAGGGAAACUUGUGCUAAUACCGUAUGUGCCCUUCGGGGGAAAGAUUUAUCGCCUUUGGAGCAGCCCGCGUUGGAUUAGCUAGUUGGUGAGGUAAAGGCUCACCAAGGCGACGAUCCAUAGCUGGUCUGAGAGGAUGACCAGCCACACUGGGACUGAGACACGGCCCAGACUCCUACGGGAGGCAGCAGUAGGGAAUCUUGCGCAAUGGGCGAAAGCCUGACGCAGCCAUGCCGCGUGUAUGAUGAAGGUCUUAGGAUUGUAAAAUACUUUCACCGGGGAAGAUAAUGACGGUACCCGGAGAAGAAGCCCCGGCUAACUUCGUGCCAGCAGCCGCCGUAAAAC